rnacentral:rRNA from 1 species
GACGAACGCUGGCGGCGUGCUUAACACAUGCAAGUCGAACGGUAAGGCCCUUCGGGGUACACGAGUGGCGAACGGGUGAGUAACACGUGGGUUAUCUGCCCUGCACUUCGGGAUAAGCCUGGGAAACUGGGUCUAAUACCGGAUAGGACCCUGGGAUGCAUGUCCUGGGGUGGAAAGCUUUUGCGGUGUGGGAUGGGCCCGCGGCCUAUCAGCGUGUUGGCGGGGUGAUGGCCUACCAAGGCGACGACGGGUAGCCGACCUGAGAGGGUGACCUGCCACACUGUGACUGAGAUACGGCCCAGACUACGACGGGUGCCAGCAGUGGGGGAUAGUGCACGAUGUGCGCAGGACUGGUGCAGAGAAGCCGCGUGAGGGAUCGCGGCCUUCGGGUCGGAAACCUCGUUCAGCACCGACGAUGCGCAAGUGACGCUAGGUGCAGAAGAAGGACCGGCCAACUACGUGCCAGCCGCCGCCGUAA